AUUGGAACACCGGUUUCCGUACGACCACCGAAGUUAAGCAACGCCGGGACUGAUUUAGCACCUGGGUGGGUGACCGCUUCGUAAUACCAGACACUGUAA